rnacentral:pre_miRNA from 1 species
CUCGCAAAAAUUUAAACUAUGUUUCGAGUCAAAUUUUUGCCGGAAAA